UUCUUCACCAACUGCAGCCACCUCGGUAGCUCGCCAGACAACAAAGUCGGAACAUUCAAGUUCUUUAGACAAUUUCGUGGUUUAUUUGCCACUAUGAGUUAAACAUACGUAUGUGGAAACAACUAGAUACCCCAUUUAAUGUAAUAUUUACGUUGUAAUUCAACUUGCUGGCUGCUUAAAUUAGCACUAGUCUAGUCGCUAAUACUAACUAGCUAUUAUUCCCGUACAUGAGUUCACUAAGCUACUCUCCUCCUGUUAAAGAAGAGAUCUGCUGGACGGAGAAAGAAGCUAUCGAGGAAGAGGAGGCUGUUCCAAUACUUAAAACAAGUAGAGGGUGAGGCUGUUACCGUGAAAGAAGAAGAGAAAGACGCCUUCAGAGUGGAGGAUGAAGACGUUUUUGGAAUGAAGGAUGAAGAGGGGGAGAUUACUGUCACAUUAGAGGAGGACGAAAAAGAGAAGACUGGAGAUCUGAUUAACACCAGAAAAUACAGAGAGACGGGACUAUCGUGGAUCCGCUGGUGAUCCUCAACAACAUCAUGAUGCUGACGAGGCAGAGAAAAGUCUCUCCAGAUCAGAACACCUCAAGAAACACCUACCGAGACCCACAGGGAAGAAAUCUCACCACUGCUUUGACUGUGGGAAGAGUUACUCAAGAUCAGAUUCACUUAAACUACAUAAGAGAAUACACUAGCGAGUACACACAGGAGAGAAACCUCACCACUGUUUUGACUGUGGGAAGAGUUACUUAAAAUCAGAUUCACUUAAACUACACCUGAGAAUACACACUGGAGAGAAUGUUCACUGCUGCUCUGACUGUGGGAAGAGAUUCACCUCUUCAGUAGACCUUAAAAUACAUCAGAGAAUUCACACUGGAUAGAAACCUUAUGGCUGUAAUCAAUGUGGGAAGAGUUUUACUCAGUCAAGCGGCCUGAUAGUACACCAGAUAACACACACAGGAGAGAAAUCAUAUAGCUGUACUCAAUGUGGGAAGAGUUUUGCUACAUCUGGCUAUCUGAAGAUACACCAGAUAAUACACACAGGAGUGAAACCCUUUAGAUGUGAUCAAUGUGGGAAGAGUUUUGCUACAUCUGGCUAUCUGAAGAUACACCAGCAGACACACACAUGAGAGAAACCUUAUGGCUAUGAUCAAUGUGACAAGAGAUACUCUGAUAAAAUAUAUCUAAUCAAACAUCAGAAAAUACAUACAUGAAGGAGUUGUUUCAUGAUAUUAAUUAAAUAAUGUCACAUUGUAGAAUGUUUUAACAUUGUAGUAGGAGUAUUUUAAUGAUGUCACAAUGUAGCACCCUAAAUGUUUGCCCCCUAUUCAAUUUGAUAAAUUGAUUGCAGCAUGAUAUGGAUUUUAGCCUCAGUGAUUUAACAAAAAUGUACUAACAAAAAAAGAGUUGUGUUACACUUACCACGUUGGUGACCCACUGAAUCAAAAUGCAACACUUCAAAAUGUAGACAUCUGUUUACAUCUAUUACUAUUUAUGUAAAUGAACAAAAAGUGACUAACUAAAAAAGAGCUGGUAUGAUGUUGUCAUGUUUUGUUUAUACAAUUAAAUGUUUUCAAUGACUUGAUAAAUUAAUUUCAACGUACUUGCAGCCCAAACACCUGGACGCAGUAUAAUGAAUUGGUCUAUAAUCAAUUUUAUUAACAAUCCUAUAUCACUCCAGUAUUUAUUGACAACAUUCAAGUGCUAAAUGUCUUUAUACCACUACUGAAGAAGCAUGACUCAAAUCACCUCAUAUUUCAAACAUUCACCCUGACAAAGAUACGUUUUAUUACUCCAUGCCUCACCAAUCACAUUUGCUUUUGAUAGUUGUACAAUUCAUUUAACAUUUAGUAACAUUUAGUUUGACUUUAGUUUUUUGCUUUUCUUGAUGGAGAACGUAACAACAAACAAUGGAGUAAAACAAGUUUAUCAUUUGUAUUGGAUCCAAUUGUUAAUAUUUGAAUCAAUGACAUUUCCUUAAAAUGCUCAGUCUUUCAGUUAAGUUUCUGUUCGUUGUGUACUAAAUAUUUUAGUUUGUUUGAUGUUCUGCCCCUGAACAGGCAGUUAACCCACUGUUCCUAGGCUGUCAUUGAAAAUAAGAAUUUGUUCUUAACUGACUUGCCUAGUUAAAUAAA